rnacentral:lncRNA from 1 species
AAAAUGGAGCUUAGAUUGGAAAGUACAUGCUUGGAGCACAAGGAAUGGACGAGUUUGAAGGGCAAAUGAGCUUAAGAAAUGAAGAAAUGAAUGUGAAGAACAAAGAAUUCAGAAUUAGAAACCAAAGUUUCUAAAGUUGGAAGUUUCUAUUCUUGGAGGUUUCCAUUUGUGAGAGUUUCUAUUCUUGGCGUUGGGCUUUUGGAUGACCUAUCCUUACCUCUUGGACUUGAGCCGCACUUCCUAGCCCAUUCUCUCUUAAAUUCUGACUUAUUAGGGCCUUUAGUUGUGGAUUUGGGUUAUGCAAAUCCCUGUUUAAAACUAAGUGGACCUAAGCCCUAAUUCUUUGUGGAUAUUCACCCUAUGCCGCACCUAAACCCUAGCCCAUUUCCAAAUCUGAUCUCCCUAACCCUAUGCCGCACCUAGGGUUUUAAAUAUCUGAUUUCCUUGCCUUGCAAGGCAUUCUAGAAGCCUAAACCCUAGCCCACUAAACCAGCCGAACCCUAGGCCUUUUCCCUUGCAAAUUCUGAUUGUUUUAACCUAUUUUCUGGUGGAUUUGGGUUUCUAGAAACCCUAAUCUGAUUGCUAGGGUUUUUAAGUGCCUAUAUAUACUCUUUUAAACCUCUUGGCCGAAGGGACCACCUCCCAUAUCAUCCAUGCACUCCAGAAAUUCAUUCUAAACCCUUGCCGCAACCAACCCCUUCAUUCUCCCUAGUUCUAAGCCCUUGCCGUGCCUCCCUAGUCCUUUUAACCCUUCUACCCUUUUCCAUAACCAUUCAUCUACCACAGCCGUGCCUUCCCACCACCAUCACCACCUUGUGCAGCCACCAAAGGAGGAGAAAGAAGGAGUGCCGUGCAGUCCAAAGGAGGAAGACACCUUGCACAUGCAAUCUGCCAUUAGUGGAGUGUUUGGAGUUCU